GAUGAAGAACGUAGCGAAAUGCGAUACGUAAUGUGAAUUGCAGAAUUCAGUGAAUCAUCGAGUCUUUGAACGCACAUUGCGCCCCCUGGUAUUCCGGGGGGCAUGCCUGUCCGAGCGUCAUUGCUGCCCUCAAGCCCGGCUUGUGUGUUGGGUCUCGUCCCCCUUCCCGGGGGGACGGGCCCGAAAGGCAGCGGCGGCACCGCGUCCGGUCCUCGAGCGUAUGGGGCUUUGUCACCCGCUCUGUAGGCCCGGCCGGCGCUUGCCGAUCAACCAAAACUUUUUUCCAGGUUGACCUCGGAUCAGGUAGGGAUACCCGCUGAACUUAAGCAUAUCAAUAAGCGGAGG
rnacentral:misc_RNA from 1 species